rnacentral:rRNA from 1 species
AACAUGUCUUUUUGAUUAUAAUUUAAAGUCUAAUCUGCUCCAUGAAAAAUUUUUAAAUAGCUGCAGAAUUUUAACUGUACAAAGGUAGCAUAAUCAAUAGUUUUUUAAUUAGAAGCUGGAAUGAAUGAUUUAAUAAGGUAAAUAUUGUCUCAAAUUUAAUAAAAUUAAAAUUUUAUUUUUAGUAAAAAUUCUAAAAUGAAAUUAAAAGACGAGAAGACCCUAUAGAUUUUUAUAUUUUAAAUUAAUUAAAUUAAAAUUUAUAAAUAAAAUUUAAUUUAAAAGUAUUUGAUUGGGGUAAUUAUUAAAUUUAAUUAAUUUUAAUUAAUUUUAAACAAGAAUUAUUGAUUAAAUGAACUUUAUUAAAAAUUAUUAGAAUAAAAUACCUUAGGGAUAACAGCGUAAUUUUUUUAGAGAGAUCUUAUUAAUAAAAAAGUUUGCGACCUCGAUGUUGAAUUAAGAUUAAAUUUUGAUGAAAAAAUUAAAAAUUUUUGGUCUGUUCGACCAUUAAAAUCUUACGUGA